CCUACGGGCGGCAGCAGUGAGGAAUAUUGGUCAAUGGACGAGAGUCUGAACCAGCCAAGUAGCGUGAAGGAUGACUGCCCUAUGGGUUGUAAACUUCUUUUAUAUGGGAAUAAAGUGUUCCACGUGUGGGAUUUUGUAUGUACCAUAUGAAUAAGGAUCGGCUAACUCCGUGCCAGCAGCCGCGGUAAUACGGAGGAUCCGAGCGUUAUCCGGAUUUAUUGGGUUUAAAGGGAGCGUAGGUGGAUUGUUAAGUCAGUUGUGAAAGUUUGCGGCUCAACCGUAAAAUUGCAGUUGAUACUGGCAGUCUUGAGUACAGUAGAGGUGGGCGGAAUUCGUGGUGUAGCGGUGAAAUGCUUAGAUAUCACGAAGAACUCCGAUUGCGAAGGCAGUUCACUAGACUGCAACUGACACUGAGGCUCGAAAGUGUGGGUAUCAAACAGGAUUAGAUACCCGAGUAGUC
rnacentral:rRNA from 1 species